rnacentral:rRNA from 1 species
UUUGAUGGCGACCGGCGCACGGGUGAGUAACACGUAUCCAACCUGCCGAUGACUCGGGGAUAGCCUUUCGAAAGAAAGAUUAAUACCCGAUGGCANAGUUCUUCCGCAUGGUAGAACUAUUAAAGGAUUUCGGUCAUCGAUGGGGAUGCGUUCCAUUAGGUUGUUGGCGGGGUAACGGCCCACCAAGCCUUCGAUGGAUAGGGGUUCUGAGAGGAAGGUCCCCCACAUUGGAACUGAGACACGGUCCAAACUCCUACGGGAGGCAGCAUG